GUGAAGGUGCACUAUAAAAAAAAGUUGGACUUUACAAGCGGUUUUUUAGCUACAGUUUUGAAAAUCGCCACUAAAAAGUAAAAAUAGGCCUGCGGUUUUGUGUUCUAUACAUACCAGCGAUUCUAGAACUGCUGGUAUUGUUACCCUUCAACAGCGAUUAAUUCAACCGCUGCGCUGGUGGAAACCCAAACAAACCGCAAAAAAAUUCCCCUCCUUGCUCAUUCUCUCUCUUGCCCUAACGACAAAAGAGAGCGCACACAGUAUAUUCUGUGUGUGUGUGUGUGUGUGUGUGUUUUACAUUUGCUGAAGCGACACGAGGAGCGUUUGUAUUGUUCAUUCGAUCUUCUGUUUCUAGAAUCAAAGAGAGACGCACCUCUGUCAUGAGAAUCUACGGCAAUUUUGAGGAAAAGUUGGAUGGUCUUGCCAUCAAGGGGCCCGGGAACCACAAAUCGAAGAUCUUGAUUUGGAUUCCAAAUCUGGCAGUUCCAAUCAUCCCCUGUGUUUUCUUGCGGAGCGAAGUAGUCGCCAUCGUAUGAAUAAGCAAUGCAGUUACAAUCCUGGCACUCCUCUUUACAUUUAUUCUCACUGCUAACCCGAAUCCCGUUCUCUGGAUUUCGAUAUUUUAUUAUGGUCAAGCUGAAGAACUCGUAUUUAUUAGCCUUACCAUUUUCGAGGCAUAACUCCAAGUUUCUUGUACAACCAUCUGUAAAGUCUCCAGAAUUCCAAGUCUCUGGCUGCGCCGGCUUGAACCCCAACGAACAAUUGCACAUAAACUCAUUGCUAGCAUUGCAGAUACCAAACUUCCCGCAAGGUUUUAGCACGCUGCAUGGGUCUCUUGGUUCUGACCAAAUCACAGGCCGCUCAUCAGGAUUACGUGUUAGAUAUUGCAGUUUCCCUGACGAGUCCAUCACCAGUCUAACGCCUGAUAUACUUUUAUUUGAUGAUUGAAGGUCAAGCAUUACAUCCAACACUUCAUCAUUCUUAUUAAAUCCGCCCCCACUUUUCCAAAACGAAAUCGAAUCUUUGGAGAUCAUAUAAUGUUUCGACUCUGGAUCUUGCUGGAAACUGUAGAUUCCUGUCCCGGGGUUACUCUCACUUUUCCAUGAAACCAAUGUCAGUUGCUCAACCAUUGUCAUGCCGGGAAGAAACGUGUCUGUUGGAUGUUUAAAACUCUCCCAGAAAGUGAAGUUAGCAGCCUUUUCAAUCAGAACCAGGUUCCCAUCAUCCGCGAGCUUCGCCGCCUUUAUCUGCAAGCGCGGCGAUGUAUUUUCAAGCACUGCAGAAUAUUGUUGGUCUCCAUUUCCAUCCAGUAGUUUGAGAUUCCCAUCUGUCACUUUUAAAACUCCAGAGGUAUCAGAAAGCGGUUUGUCUCUGUUGGCAACCCAUACUACUAUACGGGGAUUCGACCCGUAAUACCAUAUGCCCACAUAUCGGCUGUUAUUGGAAUUUCCUGGAGGAGUGAAAAAUCCGAGUUCAAAUUUUUUGCUGGCUGAAACAAGUGUCUCUCCGUCGCGUAUCGGUUCAUCUGGUGUUAUGGUAUCUCUAGCACAGCAGUAGAAAAGAGACGAACAGAUGAAGAACAUGCACAAGGUGAACAGCAUCAUCAUGAUAAGAAGAAUUUCCCUACCUCGCUCUGUGGCGGUGGUUUCUCAAUCUUUCAAAAUUAAAAAAACAAAACAGGUUCUGGUGUUUGGAUGCACCAUCCAAGACUUUCUGGUUAAAGCUGGUAUGAGAAUAUGGAUGAAUGUAUUGGUUAGAAGAGAGGGGAAAAGACUAAAAAAUAAAACCCAGCAGCCGGAAUAAAAUUUUGUGGGAUUUUCAACUGCUCUAAAAAAUUAAAAUGAUAAGACAAGUCAACCAGGUCGUCGGAGCUGCGUGACUGCUGUCCUUACAAUUCAUUGUCCAA